GGGGAUAUAGCUCAGUUGGUAGAGGGCUUGCCUCACAUGCACAAGGUCCUGGGUUCAAUUUCCAGCACCACUG
rnacentral:tRNA from 1 species